rnacentral:ncRNA from 1 species
CAUAAAGGGGAGCUUAUUUUGCUGAGAGGAAGCGCAAGCUUCGACCCUAUGAACCUGAUAUGGAUAAUUCCAGCGAAGGGAGACAAAG